rnacentral:rRNA from 1 species
CACGUAGGGCGCAAGCGUUGUCCGGAAUUAUUGGGCGUAAAGAGCUCGUAGGUGGCUUGUCACGUCGGGUGUGAAAGCUUGGGGCUUAACUCCAGGUCUGCAUUCGAUACGGGCUGGCUAGAGGUAGGUAGGGGAGAACGGAAUUCCUGGUGUAGCGGUGAAAUGCGCAGAUAUCAGGAGGAACACCGGUGGCGAAGGCGGGUCUCUGGGCCGAAAUUGACGCUGAGGAGCGAAAGCGUGGGGAGCAAACAGG